rnacentral:rRNA from 1 species
AUUGAUUUUAUGCUUGCAUAAAUGAUUUUUGGAUUCGGAGCGAGUGGCGAACUGGUGAGUAACACGUGGGUAACCUGCCCCGAAGCGGGGGAUAACAUUUGGAAACAAGUGCUAAUACCGCAUAAUUAGUUGGAACCGCAUGGUUCCAACUUGAAAGAUGGCUCUGCUAUCACUUUGGGAUGGACCCGCGCCGUAUUAGUUAGUUGGUGAGAUAAAAGCCCACCAAGACGAUGAUACGUAGCCGACCUGAGAGGGUAAUCGGCCACAUUGGGACUGAGACACGGCCCAGACUCCUACGGGAGGCAGCAGUAGGGAAUCUUCCACAAUGGACGAAAGUCUGAUGGAGCAACGCCGCGUGAGUGAUGAAGGUUUUCGGAUCGUAAAACUCUGUUGUUAAAGAAGAACAAGUGUUAGAGUAACUGUUAACACUUUGACGGUAUUUAACCAGAAAGCCACGGCUAACUACGUGCCAGCAGCCGCGGUAAUACGUAGGUGGCAAGCGUUGUCCGGAUUUAUUGGGCGUAAAGCGAGCGCAGGCGGUUUUGUAAGUCUGCUGUGAAAGCCCUCAGCUCAACUGAGGAAGUGCAGUGGAAACUACAAAACUUGAGUACAGAAGAGGAAAGUGGAACUCCAUGUGUAGCGGUGAAAUGCGUAGAUAUAUGGAAGAACACCAGUGGCGAAGGCGGCUUUCUGGUCUGUUACUGACGCUGAGGCUCGAAAGCAUGGGUAGCGAACAGGAUUAGAUACCCUGGUAGUCCAUGCCGUAAACGAUGAAUACUAGGUGUUGGAGGGUUUCCGCCCUUCAGUGCCGCAGCUAACGCAUUAAGUAUUCCGCCUGGGGAGUACGACCGCAAGGUUGAAACUCAAAGGAAUUGACGGGGGCCCGCACAAGUGGUGGAGCAUGUGGUUUAAUUCGAUGCUACGCGAGGAACCUUACCAGCUCUUGACAUCUUCUGCCAACCCAAGAGAUUGGGCGUUCCCUUCGGGGACAGAAUGACAGGUGGUGCAUGGUUGUCGUCAGCUCGUGUCGUGAGAUGUUGGGUUAAGUCCCGCAACGAGCGCAACCCUUAUUAUUAGUUGCCAGCAUUUAGUUGGGCACUCUAGUGAGACUGCCGGUGAUAAA